AUGUCGUACAUCCGCAACGACCUCCUUGCCGCCAUGGAUUUGGGCUCGAGCUCCGCUGCCGUUCAUGGCCGAAGCCCACUAAGGAUGGAAGACCCUGGUAGUAGUGGACCGGUGCUGCAACGGUACUACAACCCUGGUGUGGUCUUCCAAGAUGCAGCACGGCAUGGCCGGGAUGAAUUUGAUCUGAAUGUUGCUGUUGAGCCAUCAAUUUUCCUUGACGAUGAUAUGCAAAAUGUUGCACAUGAAGAAGAAGAAGAAGAAGAAGGCAUUGAUCUGAAUGAAACUCCGCGAAAUGUUAGUGACGAUUCGUUUCAGCUGAACACCGGUGGUGUAGCUCCAAAUCAAGGCAAUGCUCGUGUGGCUAGUGACAAUGCCAAUGGAAAUGCUGCAACACUUGUUGACGAACCGGAUGAAGAUAUAUCAUCACAGCCAGUUGUCCCUUUUGUUGGAAUGGUUUUUGACAAUGUUGAAGAAGCUCAGCGUGUUUACAAUGAAUAUGCCUCGAAGAUGGGCUUUGGAACUCGCAUUGUGACGUCAAAGUAUAGUAGGAAAAAUAGCUCGGAUAAGAAGCGCAUUCUAAACUAUAGAGUUUUUGAGUGCAUACACUCACGGAAAAAUCCUUCGAAGAGUGUUGGUGGUAGCAUUUCUGAAGGGGCUGCAACAAAUGAGUGUGAUGAUGUUGAUAUGAGCUAUGCUAGUAACAAAAAGUCUCCAAGCAAACAAGCUGGCAUCUAUAUGGAUGUGAGCGACAAGAGGAAAAGAAAUCGGUUGGAGCGGUAUGAUUGCAAGGCUCAUAUGGGUGUUAACCUCAAAGACGGUAGCUGGGUUGUGACAAUUUUUGAGGCCGAUCACACACACCAGUUGAUGUUGCAAAGGGGGCGUCGGAGAUUUUGCCGCUCUCACAGAAAGAUCCCGGAUGCAGACAUGCAGUACAUCACUUCACUGCACUAUCGCAACAUAUCUACGGCUAAUAUGAUGGGCUUGCUUGGAGAUGCACGGUGUUGCGAUCCAAGGAGUUUGCCGUAUGUGAAGACUGAUGUGACAAAUGCAAGAGCAAAGUUGCGAAGGGGCCUAUCGGAACGUGAUUUGGAGCUGACAAUCGAGUACUUUGAGAGAAGACAAGUGGAGAAUCCAAACUUCUUUUUCUCGAAGCUAGAAGAAGAUGGAGUUGUUAGGGCGCUUUUCUGGGUUGAUGGGAGAACAAGGGCCUUGUAUCCAAAGUACAAAGAUUGUGUGUUUUUCGACACCACAUUCUGCACAAAUCGCUACAACCUGCCCUUUGCUCCAAUUGUUGGCAUUAACAACCACACACACACUGUUUGCUUGGGGUGUGCUUUGUUGCCUGAUGAGACCAUUGAAACUUUCAAGUGGGUCUUCCAGCAAUGGAUGUUGGCAAUGAAUAAUGAGCAUCCGUUGAACAUUAUGACUGAUCAAGACCAGGCAAUGGCUACAGCCAUCUCAAUGGUAUUCCCACAUUCAACACACAGAUGUUGCAAGUGGCACGUCUUCCGGGUUGCAAGAACAAAACUAGGGAGGAUGCUGGGCAAGGAUGAGCCUUUUGCAGAAGCAUUUUAUGGUUGCAUUAAUGGUUCAGACACCGUUGAGGAGUUUGAAGAACGGUGGAAGCAGAUGGUCGAGGUGUUUGGUGUGGCUGAUAAGAAACACCUCAAAAACAUGUGGAACAGCAGGGAGACGUGGGCUCCUGUGUACUUUAGGAAUAAGUUCUUCCCAUUCACAGGAACAACUGGGCGCUCCGAGGGCCUGAAUUCCUACUUCAAGACAUUAAAUCAUCAUGGAGACUCGGUUUGGACCUUUGUGCAGCAGUUUGAGCUUUGCCAGGAGCUGAUGCUUGAUCGUGAAGACAAUGCGGGCUUCAUCAAUGAAGCGACGAGGCCACCACUCUGGGGCAAUUACAACAUUGAGAAGCAGGCUGCUGAUUUCUAUACCAGAGAGGUAUUUUUCAAGUUUCAGAAACUAUUGGCUAAAUCAACAGGCUAUGGGUUGCAAUACCAGCUGCAAGGGAAUGUCGGCUGGUUUCGUCUUGUUGCAAAUGAUGGCAUGAACCCUAAAGUGUACACGGUGCGUGUUGCCCCUGAUGAUCAGACAUACAUGUGCAGUUGCAACAUGUUUGAGAUGUGUGGGCUGAUCUGCCCACAUAUCAUCCGUGUCAUGGUGCACCUGAACGUGCAAGCGAUACCUGCGAAUUACAUGCUUCCAAGAUGGUCUAAGAGAGCAACCGACCUUGCACCUGAACCAGGCGAUGGGCAUAGAGCUAUGCAUUUCGGCGUCCCCACAACAAACACCCUAAAGUUUAACUCUCUCUGCCGGAAGUUUGGGAAACUCGCUUCUGAUGCAUGCUUCAAUGAUGAAGCUUAUAGUUUUGUCUCUGGGCUAAUUAAUCAGGGCAGUGUUGGGGUUGCUGAAAUAAAAGCUAGAGCGAUCGAUGAAGUUGCACGAGGCGAAGAAGCCCAAGGUCAUGCAGCAAAUGAACAACUCUCAAGGGGUCCCAGUACAGGGCAGCAGGAUCCACCCCCCGUAGGACUACGAAACCCACCAAAGUCAGCAAAGAAGGGGAGGCCAAAAGAAAAAGAGAAGCGAAGGAAGCCACUAAUUGAGCUUCGAGAAGAUGAAAUGAAGAAGAAAGCAAAGAAGGACGCAGCAAAAACGAAGAAAGCUCCAAAGCCAAGGGAAAAGAAGACUCCAUGCAAAUAUUGUGAAGAUGAGGAUCACAACGUGAAGAACUGCCAACUCCUUGCCGCUUUUCUUGCUGCGAGUGCGAGCGCGAAAGCUCCAGGUGUCGGGCCAAUCCUUACACUUUAG
rnacentral:rRNA from 1 species